rnacentral:rRNA from 1 species
UACAGAGGUCUCAAGCGUUGUUCGGAUUCAUUGGGCGUAAAGGGUGUGUAGGUGGCGCCGUAAGUCGGGUGUGAAAUCUCGGGGCUUAACUCCGAAACUGCAUUCGAUACUGCGGUGCUUGAGGACUGGAGAGGAGACUGGAAUUCAUGGUGUAGCAGUGAAAUGCGUAGAUAUCAAGUGGAACACCAGUGGCGAAGGCGAGUCCCUGGACAACUCCUGACACUGAGGCACGAAAGCUAGGGGAGCAAACAGG